rnacentral:rRNA from 1 species
UACGAAGGGGGCUAGCGUUGCUCGGAAUCACUGGGCGUAAAGCGCACGUAGGCGGAUUGUUAAGUCAGGGGUGAAAUCCUGGAGCUCAACUCCAGAACUGCCUUUGAUACUGGCGAUCUCGAGUCCGGGAGAGGUGAGUGGAACUGCGAGUGUAGAGGUGAAAUUCGUAGAUAUUCGCAAGAACACCGGUGGCGAAGGCGGCUCACUGGUCCGGUACUGACGCUGAGGUGCGAAAGCGUGGGGAGCAAACAGG